AUCCUAGCUUGCUAGGAGGCGUCGAGCGGCGGACGGGUGAGUAACGCAUAGGAAUCUGCCCGGUAGUGGGGGAUAACCUGGGGAAACCCAGGCUAAUACCGCAUACGUCCUACGGGAGAAAGCAGGGGAUCUUCGGACCUUGCGCUAUCGGAUGAGCCUAUGUCGGAUUAGCUGGUUGGUGAGGUAAUGGCUCACCAAGGCGACGAUCCGUAGCUGGUCUGAGAGGAUGAUCAGCCACAUCGGGACUGAGACACGGCCCGAACUCCUACGGGAGGCAGCAGUGGGGAAUAUUGGACAAUGGGCGCAAGCCUGAUCCAGCCAUGCCGCGUGUGUGAAGAAGGCCUUCGGGUUGUAAAGCACUUUCAGUGGGGAAGAAAUCCUCGGGGCUAAUACCCUCGAGGGAGGACAUCACCCACAGAAGAAGCACCGGCUAACUCCGUGCCAGCAGCCGCGGUAAUACGGAGGGUGCGAGCGUUAAUCGGAAUUACUGGGCGUAAAGCGCGCGUAGGCGGCCUGAUAAGCCGGUUGUGAAAGCCCCGGGCUCAACCUGGGAACGGCAUCCGGAACUGUCAGGCUAGAGUGCAGGAGAGGAAGGUAGAAUUCCCGGUGUAGCGGUGAAAUGCGUAGAGAUCGGGAGGAAUACCAGUGGCGAAGGCGGCCUUCUGGACUGACACUGACGCUGAGGUGCGAAAGCGUGGGUAGCAAACAGGAUUAGAUACCCUGGUAGUCCACGCCGUAAACGAUGUCGACUAG
rnacentral:rRNA from 1 species